CCCUUCAAAUUUUAUUCACUUCCUACUCGCAGAGUCUCACUCACCAUUUUUGGACACCGCGUCUCAGAGAUAAUUUUCUGAAAAAUGGAAGAGAAAAAUAACAAGCAAGUAAAUGAACUGAAAAAUAAAUUCUCAUCAUUGGAUUUACCAGAUUUGCCCAAACAGCUCCCUCCACAUCUUGAGUUUCAGAAUUCAGAGAACUCGUGUUCUCUGCAACCUUGAGGCUCCGAUUCCUGUGUUUCUCGUCGACUCUCUCCAUUUUUUUCUUUUUUGGUAGCUACCCUUCUCUUGGUUUUGCAUGUUUUUGAGGUGUUUAUUGGUUAUAUUUAAAUUUUACAGGUUUUUCGACGCUUUCGAGGAAGUGCUUUUGUAUUUUUCAUUGACCCUUUAUCUGUUUUUUCCCGUUUGUAAAUGCCCAUGAUUUUUGUUUUUUGAUGCUUCGGUUGUGUUAUACAAAGCUUGUUAAUUUGUUAGUUGAAAUAUUGUAAAGACUGAAAAUUUGAGUCUAUUGGACAUUGUUGCUAGUCUCACUGCUUCGAUGAGUUAACAUAUCCAUGAGUUGUGUUUGUUGAAGUUCUCACUGGUCAUAAUAUUUUUCUUUUUGCGAGAAAUUGAAUUAAAAGCACAUGCUGUAAAAAGGCAUGGUAAAACUCAUGCAAAGUGGUCACCAGUGGCUACCGAAUGCUUCCUGAGGUUGUUUUAUUGGAAGAUGUUGAAGACGAGGAUGCUGAAAAACUUGUAAACACUUGCCUGGUUAAAGUAUUUGAUAUCGAAGAUUUUGGAAAUGGUAAGAAAAGGCAACUGCAGCAGGAUGACGGGCUUGCACACUUUGUAGGGAAUGCCUAAGAGUGGGAGAAGAAUAGGAGAAGCAUGUGUCACUACUUAUUAAAGACCAUUUUAAAUGUAAGUAUGUCUUGCAUGUGCAUCAAUUUGCACUAAUCAGAAGACUUCAGGAGAAAUCACUUUAAUAUCCUGUUCGGUUCGAAGUUCCUACUUGUUUGAACACAUCAAAUGCAAAAUGCAUGCAGCAUGAGUAAUUAGCUUUGCGUGUAAUAUGAAUCUGAGCCCAUGUGGAACUAUUUCUUCUGUGUUUGAUCGAUGAUGGAACAGGAUAGUCUAUACCGAUUGUCAAUGUUUGUGUAUAGGCUUGAAAAUGAUGAUGAGCCCACCAUUGUUAACUUCCCACCCUUUGGAAACAUGUUGCUACAAUUUGGUCAUAGAUUCAACACUGCUGCUUGAAGUUUUUGAUUGCGUAAUGUUCUCGUUUUCAUCUGUUUUUUCUGUUUUUUUUUUUUUUCAUUUUCCAGUUACUAUGAAUCAACCGGAGCAUUACCUCCUGAAGUUUUAUUUACUGAAGCUGUCUUGAUGCUAUAUAGAGUAGAUGUUCUAACAAAUUCUAGUUCACUGUAAACCAAGGGGUUUGGUAAUUGAUAUUUGUUCUUUCCCUCCAAUUUAGAAGUGAAGAAGCUAAUAUUGUUUCACCUUGCGUAUAUGAGAUUCUUUUGCAAGUAUUAGCUUUAAAAAAUGUGAGAGUUGUUAUGGGGAACGCUUGUUUCUGUUGAUUGAUUGCCUUAUUUUUGUAUAGUGAUGGAAGGAAUGUCAUCCAAUCCUAAUCUUAUAAAGCUUUGUUGAGUAUUUUUUAGUUAGGACUGGUGCAAGAAUUGUUUCAGGUGUCCACUUGUGAUGCACAUGUGUCCUUAAUCUUGCUGUACCUGCAUACUUGUAUUAUUGUUGUAUAGUUCAAGGGUGAAUUCAAGCCAAGCCCUAAUAAGGUCAGAUCAAGCAUUACUCAAAACCAAUACAGCCAACUCAAGUUCAAGCUGAGCUCAAUUAGUUGGUAAUCAGUGAUGUUAGAGAUGAAAAAGACAAGUCGCAAUAGAAGAAGAAGAAAUUUUGGAAAAGAAGAAUAAAAAGAAUCAUCGGAGAACUCCACUAUGGCGACAUCGGAGAGCCCUCGAACUUUAUCUGGAGUUUGAUUCAUUUAAGCUAAAUAUGGAUUCGAAUCUGAGCUAAACUCAGCUCGAAUUCACCCAUAACACAGGUGGGCUAAUUUUCAUCGUUCUUUUUUUUUUUUUCUAUUAUUAUGUAAUUAUCAAAGUGUGAGGGUUACAGGUCUAUGAGAACUUUUAGGUCCUUUCACGUUCACUCA